UCUUUUGUAGUAAAAUCCUACUGCUGUUCUUUGAACAAAAUUAUGAAUGAAGAAUUAUUUCAAAAUGCUGAGUACUUUAUCACUCAAGAGAUUGUUAGGCUCUCUCCUAACAAACACAUAAAUUAGGUGUCAUCUUUCUGUUGGUAUGCUCCUCAACAGAGUAUGACAAUGUAGUAUGAGGGUUGGAAAAUUUAGUAUGAAAAACCAUCAAGAAGGUUAAUCAUGGACAUUAAUAUGUUGUUUCUCUGUCAUUUGAGUCUAGAAAGAAAGAAAUUCUAGGACACUUGGCCGUGAAGACAAUUCAUAAAAGAGGAGAUAGGUGCAAACUGUCUAGAUGUGAGAAGUUAUACGUAAGGGAACUCUCUCUCCACUGAUCCAUCCAAAAGAGAAAUUAAGAACCAUUGCCAAACACUGCAACAUUCUAAUGGGUAAAAUAUUAAAAAAAUAUAGCUGAGAAAUGAAUUUCCAAAGAUAUGUUAGAGAUGGCUUUAGUGUUUAGCUUUACCACCCAUGUUAUAGAGGAAAAGCUUCAAAGAAAAGUGCAAUAAACAUUUAGUCACAAAAUAAAGGUUAUGGGAGACAAGAUUUUUUAUGUUAGUUAUUUACAACAGACUUUCCAUUCAACCAGUGGUCUUCACCUUAUACCACAGGGGAGAUCCCGUAUAUUUUACUCAACACUUACAGCUAUUAGUACUAACUUUGUUAUAUAUAUAUUUUUUAAUUUUUUUUCUUGACGAGGAUGGAAGCUGUUUGAACCCAAGUACUCAAUAAGGAUAUUGGGAAGCAUGACCGGGCUACCAUGCCUGGGUCCACUGAACUCUGGUUUGAUAAUUUAGGAGGAGAUAUCAUCAUAUACCUUGCUUUUUAUUUUUAUUUUUAAGGUUUUCUCUCUUUAGGAACCACACAAUGUAGAAGGCAAUGUGUGAAAAGUAGAUAUAAUUGUAGUAAUUGAUCUGUCCUAAAGAUUUUCAAAUUUUUAAUUUGUGACUUAUGUAAAUAAAAGGUGAUGAAAGUUGUCUAUAUCACAUUGAAUUACAUCCGGAAGGCAAAGGAGAGUCCACUCUGUGUCAAGGUUGACUAUAAUCCUUCUAUUAAAGAACAAACAGAUGUUUUCAACUAUAAAUUUAAGUGAAAAUUAGAUAGUGCUUGUAAUCAUGCUAUCUAUAUGGUGCAUUCAUCUUCACUAGAGGGUCUUUCUCAUUCAGGUUUUUCUAUAACUAUUUGAUAAAGAAUGACACCAUAGAAUGACGCCAUAGAGACCAGUUUUCCCUUUCAGCAAAUCCGGAAGGUCAAUGCUCUACCUAGAGUUGCUUUCUUUGCAUGGGAAGUAGGUUGUAGGUGUAUCAUUACCAUUGGUAAGCUGCUGAGGAGGGGAAGAAUAUUGGUGAAUAAAUGUUUUCUGUGCAAGAGGGAGGUGGAGUCUUGUAAUCACAUCCUUCUUUGGUGUCCGCUUGCAUAUAAGUUAUGGACCAUGGCUUUGGGGAUCAAUUGUGUGAUGGUUGGCUCAGUGAAGGAAGAGAUUUGGACCUGGAAAGUUAUUAGUGGAGGGAAGAAACAUGUGAGUUUCAUUCCCAUUGCUAUUUUUUGGGUGGUAUAGAAAGAGAACAUGAGAGUUUUUGAGGGAAUUGAAGAUAACUUUGAUAGGUUUCUAGAUAAAUGGUCCAACCCUGGUGUUUUUUAUUACGGGCCAUCUUAUACAAUGUAGGAUUUUGGGGACCUUUUCAAUAUUUUGAUUGACAUGUAGAUAUUUUUUUUACAUGGGUUGGCACCCUUUGGUGCUUGGAAUUAAUGAAUCUUACCAUAUUUUUUUUAUUUCUUUUUCAAGUAUUCAUCUUUUGAAGUGUUCGUUUUUCUGCAUACGCACAUUAUCAUGCAUGUGCAAUUGUUCUUUAUCAAUACAUAGGCAAUCCUCUCUCUUUGAUAUACAGGUGAAUUUGAAAUGCUUGGAGCAUUUUCUGCAAUCUGUAGGAACUCAUGAACAUAAAGUUUUUGAUCAAAGGAAAGGGACUUCUGCCUCUAGAAAGCAUAAAAGGGUAACUUGCCUACAAUAAAUGCUUUUUCUUUCCUUGGACCUAUCUCUGUUUCUAUUGUUGUAAUCUUUAGUUUUUUAUUUCUGUUGUUGAAAAGGUUAUAUUUGGCAACUUUGUUUUCCUUCUAAUUGUACUUUGGAUUUCAUUUAUCCAUCUUGACUGCUUGUCUUAAUUUCAUUUGUCCAAUCUUGAUUGCUCGUCUUCUGUCGUGCACAUGUCAUGUCUGCAACACGUGCAAGCACACAUUCUCAAACAUAUGUUCUGUGAGUGUCUGUUUUAUAUCUGCUUUGCAACAAUUGCUUUAUAGGAAUGAUCUAUUGAUUGUUUUUGCAAGAAGAAUCUCUCUUGUGGUUGCAUUGCAAUUAUAUUAAUGUGACAAGUCUAUUUGUUUUCAAAGUUCUCUAAAUAGAUUUCAACAUAAAUAGUGGAAAAAAAAACAAUUGGUUAUUUCAGUCUUUCAAAUAAGAAAAAAUAUAUUCAAACCUUCCCUGCAACCAUCCAAAGACAGAGUCCAAGGGCAGCAGAACUUACCACUAGCCUGCAGGGACAUAUUUCUGUCAAAAGCAUAAAUGUUCUUUAUGUUUGACAUCUCUUUGUGAGUUUUAUUGAGGAAAAGAGAUUCGGUUGUAAAUUGGUGAUGGAGUAUCACCUUUUUUCUUUCAUUUCAAAAGCCGCUUACUGAUAUGCAGAUUCAUGCUAGUUCAAUCAACUUAGCAUCUGAUGGUACAAAUAUGGUAGCUCUCAAGAUAUACAAUGUGAAUUGUUGUUCAUUUAGCUUUUUCAUUUUGAAACCUUGUUAUUUCUAGAAUAAACCUGAACUGGGACGGAAGCAAGAAUUUUAUGCUAAACAGUUCAAGGCUGUUACUCAAGAUGACUGUGAGAGAAUUCAGAGACAAUCGGUGAGUGUAUAUAUGUGAAUGAUGUCUUCUACUGGCCGUGUUGCUUUAUUACAAUUAUUCACUUAUUCACUGUUGAUGUAUUUAUUCAUUCCCGUUCUCAAUAAAGCUUCUUUUUCUAUCAAAAAAGAAAUAUAUUAAAUUUGGUAGUUCAUUUUGUUUAUGAAUCUAAUUUGAUGUGUUGAAGAUGUAAUAUGGUUUUCUUUGUCAUAGAAAUGGUAGAGUAGGUUAAAAAAUAUAAG
rnacentral:lncRNA from 1 species